UGUACCCCCCACCUUCCUCUUUGGGAAAAAGAUCUUUCUUUGGCAUGGAGAGGCACAGCAUGGAGCAUGCCCAGCUGAAUUUCCAGACAUGCUGGGGACUUCCCGCAGCUCCUCCUGGGCUCAGGGAGUGCAAGCAGGCUUUGGAAUCGCCUCGAUCCUCACCUGGGCCAGCACCCUCCACUCUCCAGGCUUUUCCUCCUCCCCAGGUCCUCAGGAGCCUGCCCUGAUCCAUCCCUUGGGACCUCUAUCCAAACCCAUGCCUUUGGACAUCUUUUACCUCAUUGAGGUUUGCGCUGCAGCUCUGCAGCUGGAGCCAGGACUCCCACCCUCAACCAUGCACAAGGAGCUCCCUUGGGAGGUUGCUCAGCAGUGUCCCUCAGCCGCACACCAGGCAAGGAGUUUCCCGAGGUGUCUCUGAACAGCACCUCAGGAGACAAUUCUGCAUCAGUCAAAGUUCCAGGUACACAGCAGAGC